rnacentral:rRNA from 1 species
UACAGAGGGGGCAAGCGUUGUUCGGAAUUACUGGGCGUAAAGGGCGCGUAGGCGGCCCGCUAAGUCGAACGUGAAAUCCCUCGAGCUCAACGUCGGGAACUGCGUCCGAUACGUGGCGGGCUUGAAUCCGGGGAGAGGGAGUGCCGGAAUUCCAGGUGUAGCGGUAGAAAUGCGUAGAUAUCUGGAGGAACACCGGUGGCGAAGGCGGCAUCCUGGACCGGCAUUGACGCUGAGGCGCGAAAGCUAGGGGAGCAAACGGGG